rnacentral:misc_RNA from 1 species
UCUCUUCCUGCUUUUGUUGCAAACAGCACGUACACUGUAACAAGUUUCACUCUUGUGCUUGAGUUUAAGAAGGGCCGGCUACAAAACCUUUACUGGAAAAGGGAUGGAUGCGCAAGAUGUACAGGAAACAAUAACUUUGUCUGUCUUAACAAUCAGGACUGUGCAAUCAGAACAUCAAACUGCAAAAACCGUGGAGGUUCAGUAGAUUGCAGCCUUGGUA